rnacentral:rRNA from 1 species
GAUGAACGCUGGCGGCGUGCCUAAUACAUGCAAGUCGAGCGAACAGACGAGGAGCUUGCUCCUCUGACGUUAGCGGCGGCCGGGUGAGUAACACGUGGCUAACCUACCUAUAAGACUGGGAUAACUUCGGGAAACCGGAGCUAAUACCGGAUAAUAUAUUGAACCGCAUGGUUCAAUAGUGAAAGACGGUUUUGCUGUCACUUAUAGAUGGAUCCGCGCCGCAUUAGCUAGUUGGUAAGGUAACGGCUUACCAAGGCAACGAUGCGUAGCCGACCUGAGAGGGUGAUCGGCCACACUGGAACUGAGACACGGUCCAGACUCCUACGGGAGGCAGCAGUAGGGAAUCUUCCGCAAUGGGCGAAAGCCUGACGGAGCAACGCCGCGUGAGUGAUGAAGGUCUUCGGAUCGUAAAACUCUGUUAUUAGGGAAGAACAAAUGUGUAAGUAACUAUGCACGUCUUGACGGUACCUAAUCAGAAAGCCACGGCUAACUACGUG